AAGACCUUGCGCUUUUGGAGCGGCCGAUGCCUGAUUAGCUUGUUGGUAAGGUAAAAGCUUACCAAGGCUUCGAUCAGUAGCUGGUCUGAGAGGACGACCAGCCACACUGGGACUGAGACACGGCCCAGACUCCUACGGGAGGCAGCAGUGGGGAAUUUUGGACAAUGGGGGCAACCCUGAUCCAGCCAUGCCGCGUGAGUGAAGAAGGCCUUCGGGUUGUAAAGCUCUUUCAGCCGGAACGAAACGGUUACGGAUAACACCCGUGACUACUGACGGUACCGGAAGAAGAAGCACCGGCUAACUACGUGCCAGCAGCCGCGGUAAUACGUAGGGUGCGAGCGUUAAUCGGAAUUACUGGGCGUAAAGCGUGCGCAGGUGGUUUUGUAAGUCGGACGUGAAAGCCCCGGGCUCAACCUGGGAACU
rnacentral:rRNA from 1 species